GUAGCUCAGUGGUAGAGCUUCCGACUGAAGAUCGGGUUGUCCCCGGUUCAAACCGGUGC
rnacentral:tRNA from 1 species